ACUUGGCAAUGUGCCUGGGACCUAGUGAGCGAUUCUUCUCACUUAUUAUUGUUUUCGUCAUCAUCGACAUCAUCGUCACCAUUACUUUUCAUUGUCUUUGGAAAUUUGGACAGAGACCACAGGCAGAUGCGGUGCCGUAUUCCCACAGGGCUGGAGCAGCGGAUGACACGGCAGUUAGGAGCUUCUCUGGGGCCUUCAGGCAGACGGUCUGGGCUGUGUCCUGGCUGUGCCUUUUCCCCAGCUCUACCUGCAGUCCUGCACAUCUUCUCCACCUCCAGCGGCUUCUCCUUCUGACAUCCACCCUCUGCGAAGGCAUAG
rnacentral:lncRNA from 1 species